AAACCAACAGGGAUUGCCCUAGUAACGGCGAGUGAAGCGGCAACAGCUCAAAUUUGAAAUCUGGCGUAAGCCCGAGUUGUAAUUUGUAGAGGAUGCUUCUGGGUAGCGGCCGGUCUAAGUUCCUUGGAACAGGACGUCAUAGAGGGUGAGAAUCCCGUAUGUGACUGGCUUGCACCCUCCACGUAGCUCCUUCGACGAGUCGAGUUGUUUGGGAAUGCAGCUCUAAAUGGGAGGUAAAUUUCUUCUAAAGCUAAAUACCGGCCAGAGACCGAUAGCGCACAAGUAGAGUGAUCGAAAGAUGAAAAGCACUUUGGAAAGAGAGUUAAAAAGCACGUGAAAUUGUUGAAAGGGAAGCGCCCGCAACCAGACUUUGCGGCGGUGUUCGGCUGGUCUUCUGACCGGUUUACUCGCCGCCGUGAGGCCAUCAUCGUCUGGGACCGCUGGAUAAGACCUGAGGAAUGUAGCUCCCUUCGGGGUGUGUUAUAGCCUCUGGUGAUGCAGCGCGUCUCGGGCGAGGUCCGCGCUUCGGCAAGGAUGAUGGCGUAAUGGUUGUCGGCGGC
rnacentral:rRNA from 2 species